CCUACGGGGGGCAGCAGUGAGGAAUAUUGGUCAAUGGACGAGAGUCUGAACCAGCCAAGUAGCGUGAAGGAUGACUGCCCUAUGGGUUGUAAACUUCUUUUAUAAAGGAAUAAAACGAGGCACGCGUGCCUUUUUGCAUGUACUUUAUGAAUAAGGAUCGGCUAACUCCGUGCCAGCAGCCGCGGUAAUACGGAGGAUCCGAGCGUUAUCCGGAUUUAUUGGGUUUAAAGGGAGCGUAGAUGGUUUGUUAAGUCAGUUGUGAAAGUUUGCGGCUCAACCGUAAAAUUGCAAUUGAUACUGGCAGUCUUGAGUACAGUUGAGGUAGGCGGAAUUCGUGGUGUAGCGGUGAAAUGCUUAGAGAUCACGAAGAACCCCGAUUGCGAAGGCAGCUUACUAAACUGUGACUGACAUUGAUGCUCGAAAGUGUGGGUAGCAAACAGGAUUAGAUACCCGGGUAGUC
rnacentral:rRNA from 1 species